rnacentral:rRNA from 1 species
UCCAGACUCCUACGGGAGGCAGCAGUGGGGAAUAUUGGGCAAUGGGCGCAAGCCUGACCCAGCAAUGCCGCGUGAAGGAAGAAGGCCUUCGGGUUGUAAACUUCUUUUAUCAGGGACGAAGGAUGUGACGGUACCUGAUGAAUAAGCUCCGGCUAACUACGUGCCAGCAGCCGCGAUAAUACGUAGGGAGCAAGCGUUAUCCGGAUUUACUGGGUGUAAAGGGCGCGUAGGCGGGAUGGCAAGUCAGAUGUGAAAUCUGGAGGCUCAACCUCCAAAUUGCAUUUGAAACUGUUUUUCUUGAGUACUGGAGAGGCAGACGGAAUUCCUUGUGUAGCGGUGAAAUGCGUAGAUAUAAGGAGGAACACCAGUGGCGAAGGCGGUCUGCUGGACAGCAACUGACGGUGAGGCGCGAAAGCGUGGGGAGCAAACAGGAUUAGAUACCCCCGUAA